CUCCAUCAUAUGAGAACCGUCAGGCAAAGUACACAUUUGAGAAGCUAACAAUUUCAUGCCUCCAUAAUCAUACAAUGUCAUGGCUCCAUCCUCACAAGACACUGUUACCAGAUAUAAGAAUUCAUAGCAUUCUUCCAGAACAGGUGAAUUCGAUUUUGACAUUAUUUCCAGUAUGACUGGAAUCUUCAAAACCAUAUCUUCUGAUGAGGCAAUUUCGGGAACUCGACAAAAUGCUGCAAGAACGGUAACGGAUAGCUGCAAAUAUGCAUCGCGGUUAUCGGCUCCAUUGCCACUUACAGUUCCUUUACCCAUCCC
rnacentral:misc_RNA from 1 species